CCUGCGAUAGUUUGAUCGUACAAAGGUAGCAUAAUAAUUAGUUUUUUAAUUGGGAACUGGAAUGAAAGGUCGAACGAGAAAAAAACUGUCUCAAUUUAAAUUUAAUUAGAAUUUUAUUUUUAAGUAAAAAAGCUUAAAUAAAUUUAAAAGACGAGAAGACCCUAUAGAGUUUUAUAUUUAUGGGUUUAUUUUUUAGUUUUAGAAUUAGUGUUUAAAAUUAAUUUAUUAAAUAUUUAAUUGGGGUGAUUAAAAAAUUAAAUGAACUUUUUUUAUAAAUUUAACAUUAAUAAAUGAAUAAGUGAUCCAUAUUUAAUGAUUAAAAGAUUAAAUUACCUUAGGGAUAA
rnacentral:rRNA from 1 species